GACGAACGCUGGCGGCGUGCCUAAUACAUGCAAGUAGAACGCUGAAGGAGGAGCUUGCUUCUCUGGAUGAGUUGCGAACGGGUGAGUAACGCGUAGGUAACCUGCCUGGUAGCGGGGGAUAACUAUUGGAAACGAUAGCUAAUACCGCAUAAGAGUAGAUGUUGCAUGACAUUUGCUUAAAAGGUGCAAUUGCAUCACUACCAGAUGGACCUGCGUUGUAUUAGCUAGUUGGUGGGGUAACGGCUCACCAAGGCGACGAUACAUAGCCGACCUGAGAGGGUGAUCGGCCACACUGGGACUGAGACACGGCCCAGACUCCUACGGGAGGCAGCAGUAGGGAAUCUUCGGCAAUGGACGGAAGUCUGACCGAGCAACGCCGCGUGAGUGAAGAAGGUUUUCGGAUCGUAAAGCUCUGUUGUAAGAGAAGAACGAGUGUGAGAGUGGAAAGUUCACACUGUGACGGUAUCUUGCCAGAAAGGGACGGCUAACUACGUG
rnacentral:rRNA from 1 species